AGAGUUUGAUCCUGGCUCAGAAUGAACGUUGGCGGCGUGGAUUAGGCAUGCAAGUCGAACGCCCCGCAAGGGGAGUGGCGGAAGGGUGAGUAAGGCGAAGGUAACCAACCCCGCGAAUGGGCAUAGCCGAGGGAAACUUCGGGUAAUUCCCAGCGAUGUGUCGAAUCGGCAUCGGUUUGACACCAAAGAUUUAUCGUCGU
rnacentral:rRNA from 1 species